CCUACGGGAGGCAGCAGUGGGGAAUAUUGCACAAUGGGCGGAAGCCUGAUGCAGCGACGCCGCGUGGGGGAUGACGGCCUUCGGGUUGUAAACUCCUUUCACCAUCGACGAAGGUUUUCUGACGGUAGAUGGAGAAGAAGCACCGGCUAACUACGUGCCAGCAGCCGCGGUAAU
rnacentral:rRNA from 1 species